rnacentral:lncRNA from 1 species
ACAUGGAACGGACCCGGUCGACGGCUCCCCGGGUUUGUCGGGCGCGCUCGAGAGGUAGAGGUGGUGGCGGCGGCGGUCUCGGACCCGCCUGCAGCGGCGGCGGUGACGACGCCGUAGCGAGAUCACCAACGCGGCUGUCGAAAUUAUCCAUCGAACGACACGUCCCUGCGACGUGGCAGCCGCUCAACGGAGGGCAGCUCGAUCCCGUCUCCUGAGGAUUAAUCGCAGAUGCUAGACUCCAAGAAAUCAGAGAAAAUUAUAAAUGGGGUAGCCGAUGGGUUCGCUUUCUCCUCCGCACCCGCCGCCCUCGACUCUCGGCGUCACAGAGAGCGAGCGAGCGAGAGGAGGGGGGGAGGAGGGGACGGGAGGGGAGAGAGAGAGAGAGAGAGAGAAAGAGGUGGUAGUUCCUGUUCUUUCUGCCAGCAGUGCACUUGGAAGACUCACAGGUGGGUAUUUAUGAUUUUCUCGAAAAUAUUUUUUUUCAUAGUUGGGGAAAGGAAAGAAGAGGGGAGAGGGGGGGAGAUCGCGCUGAUCCGUCGGGGAUUGCCCUUCUGUGCUCCGAUCAUCGCUUAGUCUUCCUGGGAUUUUGCGAGAAUUCAGGAGGAAGAAGAGGAAGAAACAGAAGCCUCCCUCCCCCUUCCUCGAUCAGGCUCCUCCCUGGUUCAUAGCCAGCUGUUUGAGGACAGGCUGGGCGCCUCCCCCACGGCGCUGGCAGGAACAAGACCCCUGACCUGCCUCCGAGGGUUUCACGCUGGCGUGAGGCCGGCGUACUGGUCGUCUCCGCGUCGCACCAACUAGAAGGUACGACUGAUCUUUCUCCCCUCGUAUUAAUUCCCUAGGGCAACCCUUCCUCCCCCGGUCAAUCUUCGCUCCUCGUUGGUGCUGCUUUCGGGUAUCAGAGUCACCAUGGUCCCGCCAUUGCAGGGCUGCUCCGAGCUCUGGAGCGGCAUGGAGCGUUGUUGGCCCGGCGGCGGGUACUGCCCCUACUUCGACCCCGAUUACGACUCCCUCACCGAAAGAAUCAACCCUCCGAGGUAUCUCUCUCUCUCUCUCN